UGCAGUGCAACUUCAGCAUUGUGACAAAAAUGCUACAUCUUACAACUCUCUGUUUACUCUCAGUUUGGACUCUCUGCCAGGCCAAUGUUAUCCAGCCUCCCAUGAAAGAAGUUCCAGCAGGAGCAAAUCUUACACUGCAGUGUGACCAUUCUUCUAUUAACCCUGCUGAUUAUAUUCACUGGUACAGACAGACCCCUGAUGAACAGCCCAAGUUCCUAAUCAGAGCAUUAAAGGACACUGUCUCUGACUUGCUCACAAUUACCUUUAGCAAAGACAGAAAGUCCAGUGAGCUCCAUAUACAGAAUGUCAAAACCGAGGAGAGCGGAGUGUAUCUAUGUGCUCUGAGUGACACAGCUGUGCAACCAAACACACUCUCUGUACAAUAAGUAAAUG